rnacentral:sRNA from 1 species
UACCGGGGGGAAGCAUGUGAGCGAAUACACUCAUCACCCUGUGUACAUACCUAUAACGUUGCCUCGGCGGGAACAGACGGCCCCGUAACACGGGCCGCCCCCGCCAGAGGACCCCCUAACUCUGUUUCUAUAAUGUUUCUUCUGAGUAAACAAGCAAAUAAAUUAAAACUUUCAACAACGGAUCUCUUGGCUCUGGCAUCGAUGAAGAACGCAGCGAAAUGCGAUAAGUAAUGUGAAUUGCAGAAUUCAGUGAAUCAUCGAAUCUUUGAACGCACAUUGCGCCCGCCAGUAUUCUGGCGGGCAUGCCUGUUCGAGCGUCAUUACAACCCUCAGGCCCCCGGGCCUGGCGUUGGGGAUCGGCGGAAGCCCCCUGCGGGCACAACGCCGUCCCCCAAAUACAGUGGCGGUCCCGCCGCAGCUUCCAUUGCGUAGUAGCUAACACCUCGCAACUGGAGAGCGGCGCGGCCACGCCGUAAAACACCCAACUUCUGAAUGUUGACCUCGAAUCAGGUAGGAAUACCCGCUGAACUUAAGCAUAUCAAAAGCCGGGAGGAAAAAUU